GGUUGACCUCGGAUCAGGUAGGAAGACCCGCUGAACUUAAGCAU
rnacentral:rRNA from 2 species